GUAUCAAUACUCUAAAAUCAGCCUACUUAGUACUACAUGGGUCUGAUGUGCUAGGCCUCUCCUAUCCUGUUCUCACAUCCAGUUGAGAGGAACGUCUGGCUGAGCAGAUGGGCUGUUAAUAAGCUUGACUCCUGUUGUGCCAUUGGACUCUUCAUCAUCUAGGCAGUGUGAGAUGUGUCACAGGUGAGUCACGAAGCUGGAUGAGGCGGAUGGCACCUGUUAGGGUUGGCUAAGACAGCAUCUUAUGCAUACAUAUGGAAGAGCAGACAGUCAGUGCCAGGUGGUGGGUGGGAGGAAACCAACUACCCAGAGAAUUUCCACUGGGAAUAUCUUCUCAAUGCAGAAAACUGGAAGGUUGAUCACAAUAUUUCCUUCUCCAUCCUAAUGAGGCUCUCUAGAGUUUUACAACCUAAGAAAUGGGCUUUGAGAGGUAACUUCUUCAAAAUCACUUCCCUAAGGAAAAAGUUUUUUGCUCUCUUUGACUGGUUCAGGUGUCUCAUUGGGUCACUGAUUUCCAGAAGGAUGUCCACGGAUCUACAAUCACAGGCUGAAGUUUAUUUAAUGACAGAAAAUAGAUUUUCAGAGAUGGUUACAUAAGGUAAGUGAUAACAGGGAUUAGACAGAGAUAUGGCCUCCCCAGUCUUAAAAAAUUUCCUAUAGGGAAUGGCUAUUUUAUAGAGCACAGACAUGGUGGUAGAGGAAACUCAUGGGACUGCUCAACCACCCUCCUGUUCUGUGGAGCACUGCCAAUUAAAGCAAGGAAACAAAGAUGAUGAAACCCUAGUCAAGGUGAGCCUGGCCCUUCUCGGUUGCUUGCUACAUUUCAUUUAAUCCAUGUUUUUAAUGUGAAUAUUCUGGCUUUUUUAUUUGCAUGCCCUUUUCAGUUCUCUCUCCCCUUUUCUCAUAAAAAUUUUAUUUUCAUUCUAAUUAACUUUCCUCCAGAUCCCCAGUGUUUAUUCAAAGGUCUGCUGCUCUUCUGACUAUUUCAUCUUUCCAACAUCCUGGGGACGUUUUCACUCUUUGGUUUCCCUCCUGCUUCACUUAGUCUUUUGUUGUUUCCAUUUCUUUUUCUUUUCUUUUUUUUUUUUUUCAGAUAGUAGCCCGAGUCAAUAAUGGAAACACUUUCUUCUUGCAGCUUCCCUGCUUCUCUUAGAAAAACAUCUCCCUGUGUGAAUAUGAAUAGGGUCUGUAAGGAAAAACUCAUAUUUUCAAAACGCUCAGGAAAUUAACAGGAGAGAGCUAGAAGUUGGUGAUCAGGAAGGCAAGGCAACAGAAUAUUCUGAAAAACCUGCGGUAAUUUUGAAGCAGGUUCCCAAUUUGUGACAAAUGACCCUGAAGGAAGAGGGUGCUUAACUCUUAAGAUAUGGUUAAAUGUCCUUCCAAACCAUGAAAAAUAACAAUAGGCAAUACAGUCUAGUCAAUGGAAAAGAGUUUAUUUUGUUGCACUAUGCACUGUAUUCUUGUUAAGUGCUCUAUAAGCCUUUGAUGCUUUUGAAAUGUAUUGGUGCUUUGGGGGAAUUGUAUUUUGAAUGGUUGUGCCCCCCCAAAAAAUUCAUAUAACCAGUUUCUUCUUAUGGAAGUAGUGGGAAAUGGGACC
rnacentral:lncRNA from 12 species